rnacentral:rRNA from 1 species
ACUCAAAUGAAUUGACGGGGGCCCGCACAAGCGGCGGAGCAUGUGGCUUAAUUCGACGCAACGCGAAGAACCUUACCAGGGCUUGACAUGCGGGGUGAAACCGUAGAAAUACGGUGCUCUUCGGAGCCCGCACAGGUGGUGCAUGGCUGUCGUCAGCUCGUGCCGUGAGGUGUUGCCUUAAGUGGCGCAACGAGCGCAACCCCUGUCCUAUGUUGCCAGCGAGUGAUGUCGGGGACUCAUAGGAGACUGCCGGUGCCAAACCGGAGGAAGGUGGGGAUGACGUCAAGUCAUCAUGCCCCUUAUGUCCUGGGCUGCACACAUGCUACAAUGCUGAGUACAAAGGGUAGCAAUGUCGUAAGGCGGAGCGAAUCCCAAAAAGCUCAGCUCAGUUCGGAUCGAGGUCUGCAACUCGACCUCGUGAAGUCGGAGUCGCUAGUAAUCGCAGAUCAGCAACGCUGCGGUGAAUACGUUCCCGGGCCUUGUACACACCGCCCGU